UAUAAAAAGGAAUUACAUAAUGUACGGUUUUGGUAUAUUUUGGUUUUCUCCUUAUGAAAAAUCAAAUUUCAAAUCUCCAUUUUCAUAUUAAUUGAUUGGAGUUGUCUUCAUUUAAGAUUUUAGUUUUUCUUGUUUUCAUUUCAGUGUAGCAAAACUAAGAAUCGACAAGUGAAACAAAAGCUUACUUGGGAACUGGUUGCAUUAAAUAUUUGAAUGUGUGCGUUGAUAAGAUUAAUACAAACUGUAUGUGAUAUUAUGAUUGCAUAUUGUUCAUUGAGUAUGUGAAAUCUAUAUACUUAUACUUAUACUUAUACUAUAAAAAACAGGAUAGUAUCAGGACAAAAAGUGGUUAGUUUAGUUAUUAAUUAGUUAAUUUAGUUACUGCUUUUGAAGUUAAUUAUAUAUACAUCUAUAUAUUUUAUUUUAAAUAGGGAAGUUGACAUUUUAAUAAAUAGAAAAUAAUAAAAAAAAAGAAACUGCCAGAUCAAGUGGUUACAACUUCAUUUUCAUUUAACUUCUGCUUAGGAAAAGAGAAAAAAUGAAGGGGAAAAAGAAAAAAGAAAAAAGAAAAAAGAAAAAAGAGAGGUGAUUUACAAUGGAAAUAAGAAAGAAAGAAAGUGGGCAAGAAAAGACGGAACCAGCCCCAUCACCCCCAUUACCCACGUUUUUGCUAUAGCUGCAAUCUGCAAUAUGCAAUUCAAUAUUUUUGAAACCAACUUCUCUUUUUUCUUUCAGCUUUAGAAUUUAAAGUCCAUUACACUUCUUUUUAAAUUUUCACGCUUUGACCGGUAACUGCUGCAAAUCCACGUUUGAUCCCACUGCCCCAUUUAGCAUCUGCAUCCAAAUGCUCCAAUUUCCUUUCAGAAAAUCGUAACAAAUGAAAACUGCAAAUCCAGUUGAACUCAACGCAGAGAAGAAAUCAUCAUCGGAGAAGAGUCUGUGAGAAGAUGUAUAUGGUCUUCUUGCUGGACUUUAUUUGUAGUUUUCCCAUUGAAAUAUCAAAUAUAAAUGUAUGUUGCAAGCAAAUGACUGGCAGCAGAUGCGACCAGAUUCCAAAGACUAUUACUUCGUAUUGCAGCUUCACUAUCACACUCUCUGAUGAACUCUGGUGCAAGGAAUGGUCAAAACAGGUGGCAAGGCACCAUGAUUCAAGGUGUUGUAGUUGUUUAUCAACAUUUUGCUACAAUUUUGUUCGCCAUUUUCGUGCAUAGUGUUUAAUGUGAGUAUGUUUCUUUAGUAUUAUUUGCUAUCCAGCGUCUACUUAUAUUGUUGGCUAACAUGUGAUUUUAAUGAUACAUAUUUUCAGUUUGCUUUUUAUCCAAAACCAGGUGAUGUCAAAUACUUAUAUCCAUUACACAUCUGCCCUUGAAUUAAAAUAGACGAACGAUUCAUAUGUAGGUAUGUGUUAUCCUAAAACUACUGGCAUCAUAUGUACUUUUUAAAGGAUGGAUGAUUUUCUACAAUCUUAUAUGGGAAAUUGAAUUCUUUAACAGGUAGAUCUCUCGCUAUCUUUAGUUUCAGUCUAUUUGAAUUAAAUUUAUCCGAACAAUUAGCUAGAAGAGAUGUUUAUGAUAUCCCAAUAAGUCUAGCUAAAUACUUGAUUGAUAAGUCAAACAAACUUUUAGAUUCUCAAAUACUCUAUUGCGUAAAUUUGGUGAAUUUUUAUUUGCAAUUUCUCAAGCGUUUUCCUGUUUGGUAAAGGAACCUCUGAACAAAUUAUAUGCAGUCACUGUAAUAUUUUAAUCUCACAAGUUGAUUAAUUAAAUGCUCUUUGUCUGACAGUUGUUGAAACUAAUAUCAUUAGGCUAAUCUUGAUGGAAAUGGAGUGCUGGACUACCAGAGUUGAUAGCAGUUAUAAUCCACUUGUAAAGAAAGAUGAGCAUUUUCAUAGAGCAUUCAUAUUCUUUGACAAAGAUGGGAGUGUUUAGAUUGAGCUUGAUGAGCUACGAGAAGCUUUAGCAGAAGAAUCAGGUGCAUAGGACACUGAUGUACUGAAUGAGAUCAAAGUUAAUAUAGAUAAAGUUAGACUCAUCUUCUCUCUCCAUUUAUUAGCACUACUAUGUUGUUGAAAUAGUGAAACUGCUAUUCAAUUUAUCGCUUAGUUAGCAGACGUUCACUGCAUAUUAACUUAAUUAGUUAAUAGUUAAUUCUCAACAUUGAUCUUGCCAAAAGUGUUAACACCCUGUAGUGUUCACGCUAUAUUUGCAGAUCUAGGAUACACGAUGUAGUACAACUUGAAGUAGCUUGCUAUUGCUCAUAGUUUUCUGAUUUA